UGGGGAAUAUUGCACAAUGGGCGCAAGCCUGAUGCAGCCAUGCCGCGUGUGUGAAGAAGGCCUUCGGGUUGUAAAGCACUUUCAGCGGGGAGGAAGGCGUUAAGGUUAAUAACCUUGGCGAUUGACGUUACCCGCAGAAGAAGCACCGGCUAACUCCGUGCCAGCAGCCGCGGUAAUACGGAGGGUGCAAGCGUUAAUCGGAAUUACUGGGCGUAAAGCGCACGCAGGCGGUCUGUCAAGUCGGAUGUGAAAUCCCCGGGCUCAACCUGGGAACUGCAUUCGAAACUGGCAGGCUAGAGUCUUGUAGAGGGGGGUAGAAUUCCAGGUGUAGCGGUGAAAUGCGUAGAGAUCUGGAGGAAUACUGGUGGCGAAGGCGGCCCCCUGGACAAAGACUGACGCUCAGGUGCGAAAGCGUGGGGAGCAAACAGG
rnacentral:rRNA from 1 species